rnacentral:rRNA from 1 species
GAUGAACGCUGGCGGCGUGCCUAAUACAUGCAAGUCGAGCGAACAGACGAGGAGCUUGCUCCUCUGACGUUAGCGGCGGACGGGUGAGUAACACGUGGAUAACCUACCUAUAAGACUGGGAUAACUUCGGGAAACCGGAGCUAAUACCGGAUAAUAUAUUGAACCGCAUGGUUCAAUAGUGAAAGACGGUUUUGCUGUCACUUAUAGAUGGAUCCGCGCCGCAUUAGCUAGUUGGUAAGGUAACAGCUUACCAAGGCAACGAUGCGUAGCCGACCUGAGAGGGGGGAGCGGCAGACUGGAACUGAGGCACGGGCCAGACCACCACGGGAGGGAGCAGUAGGGAAGUUUUCGGAAAGGGCGAAAGCCUGAAGGGGGAACUGCGCGGGAAGGAUUAAAGGUUUUCGAACGGAAAACCUUGUUUAUAGGGAAGAACAAAAGUGUAAGUAAACAGGCCCGUCUUGACGGGACCUUAACAAAAAGACACGGCUAACUACGUG